AAAAAUGAACCAAUAAUCCAUGAAGACGGUGCAAAGUGUAAAUUAUCAUCUGCUGCAUCUCAGACAUUGGCGAGAAUGAACAAUGUGAAGAGAAGUCUGAACAGACCAACGGCCUGCCAGAGAAAUCUUCCUCCAAGCACUCCGCUUCUCCAUCUGUGGAGCUGCAGCUCAACCCUGGCCAGCUGCAGCUUGACGGUCUACCUCUGGGGGCUGGAGCUGCAGGCCCUGGUCUACGAGUGGCCCAGGUACGACUAUUGGACCGCAGAACCAGCAGCAGGCCAAGCAGCCGACCUGGGAGUCCAAAUUCCAACACUUCAUCCACCCCAACCCCCUCAGAGGAGCAGAAUGAUGGAGAGGAGGAGGCAGCAGAGCCCGAGGAUGAAGUUCAGGGUGCAGAGCUCGAGCGUUCUACAGUUUCUGCUCCGACCCUGUGACUCCUCAAGAGGCCCUUUCAGCUCCUAAUAGCAGCUGCUAUGGAGAGAAACCCCAUUCAAUUUCAGCUGGAUUCAGGAUGUCAUCGCUCUCCAGUGCAGUAUCAUGUGACACCUAUCCAUCAAACAGAAGGCCUCAUCAACAGAGUGGGACUUUGAGAAGCAAAUACACAAUCAAGUGGACCAUCAGAGGACAUGAAAACUCAGGCCUCAUUAGAAAGGACUUCUUCCCCUGAUGCCUGCUCUAAAGCUUGCAGUACACCCAGUGACUCCCAGGGGGCCUCUCUUUCCAAGGACAGCCCAUCAGGGCUAGUUCUUUGCAAAUGCACCGUGACACCAUGUCAGAACUGUAGGAAACCUAAUGGACCUCUGGAAUUGGUUCAGCCUCCCAGAGCCAAUGGACCUGUAGACUGUAACAGUGCCUCAGAUUCCUGCAGGCAGGCUGAGCUACAGAACAGACUGAAGCCUGGGAAAACGCCAUCAGACUCAGCUUCUGCCUCUGCACUGGUGAACCACAUAGGAACAGAAAUGGUUAAGAAGGAACCCGAGAGCUCUGUAAAUGCAUGUGCUCAACAGAACUGCCCCACUGCCCCCACGAUAUGGCCCCACAGUGGCCAUCAGAACCACAGGAGCCAGACAGAGCCCCAGGAGGAGUGUAUGAGCACCGAUGAAAAGCCCUCCUUCUCAAUCACCAGCAGUUCCUUCACAGAUGCACCAUCUAGAGGCAGCCAGGAGCACGACUCAGUAAAGUUUGGUUCAGCACCUACUCCAGACAUAAAGGCUGCUCCUGCACUGAUGGACUCACUGCUGCCCAACACACUGUCCUCCAUCACCAACCUGUCCAGCUGCAUGAAGGAUGGAAAAGAGGAGGAUGGGGGUGAGUUUGUCACUCUGUGGCCACAUGUGACACUUU
ensembl:lncRNA